rnacentral:rRNA from 1 species
AACGAACGCUGGCGGCGUGGAUAAGACAUGCAAGUCGAACGGGGUUGUUUGUGUGGCAAUACAUCGACAACCUAGUGGCGAACGGGUGCGUAACACGUGAGCAAUCUGCCGGGAAGUGGGGGAUAGCUCGCCGAACGGCGAAUUAAUACCGCAUGUGGCCAGAGGGGACAUCCCUUCGACGCCAAAGUCGCAAGACGCUUCCUGAUGAGCCCGCGGCCUAUCAGCUGGUUGGUGAGGUAACGGCUCACCAAGGCUAUGACGGGUAGCUGGUCUGAGAGGACGACCAGCCACACUGGAACUGAGACACGGUCCAGACACCUACGGGUGGCAGCAGUCGAGAAUUUUUCACAAUGGGGGCAACCCUGAUGGAGCGACGCCGCGUGGAGGAUGAAGGUCUUCGGAUUGUAAACUCCUGUCAUGCGAGAACAAGAAAGUGAUAGUAUCGCAAGAGGAAGAGACGGCUUACUCUGUGCCAGCCGCCGCAGUAA